rnacentral:rRNA from 1 species
CCUACGGGAGGCAGCAGUAGGGAAUCUUUCACAAUGGGCGAAAGCCUGAUGGAGCAACGCCGCGUGCAGGAUGAAGGCCUUCGGGUUGUAAACUGCUUUUAUAAGCGAGAAAUAUGAUGGUAACUUAUGAAUAACGAUCGGCUAACUACGUGCCAGCAGCCGCGGUCAUACGUAGGAUCCGAGGAUUAUACGGAGUGACUGGGUGUAAAGAGUUGCGUAGGUGGCAUAAUAAGUAGCUAGUGAAAGCUGGUGGCUCAACCAUUCAGACUAUUAGCUAAACUGUUAAGCUCGAGACCGUUAGGGGUAACUGGAAGUUCUAGUGUAGGAGUGAAAUCCGUAGAGAUUAGAAGGAACACCAAUAGCGUAGGCAGGUUGCUGGGACGGUUCUGACACUAAGGCACGAAAGCGUAGGGAGCAAACGGGAUUAGAUACCCUAGUAGUC